GAAAAGAGCAGCUGUGCAAGUGUGUGUGUGAGUCUCAUGAUAAGACCGAGAGGCCAAACACACCCUAGGCUCUCGCUCUGAGAGCCCCUGAGCACUGUGACUGCCAUUACUGAAACAAAACAGCGACAAGGACAGAAAGAUGGGGGAUUAAGAUGACAGAAUGGAGGGGAAGAUAAGGCGGGGUGACGGUCUUACAGUUAGGUGGGGUGUAUGUGUGAUGCCCUGGGGUGGCUCAGCCCAGCGGUGUGCAGUGACCUGGCUUGUCGCUCACUGACCUGUGAGACUGACAUAAUGAAGUGUGAUUGGCCGUCACCUUAACCGUCAGUGACAAGCCAUCCCAGCCCGUAGCACAUCUGUGUCAGGCAGCUCCGCCAUCAGAGACGGGCUCUCACUGGCGACUCCGCAUCCGUCCACACUGCGCUCCUGGGAUGGCCCCGGCACCCCACUGCUGCAAUAUGGCGCUGUUAUCCAGCGAGGUCACGGGGGAAGAAGGAGGCAGAGCUAAAGACCAGCUGUCACACACCAGAGCCAGAGGUCCAGAGAUUUUUUUUCUUUUUCAUUUUUGACUACUUCUACUCAACUACUGUAACUACCUUCACUUGUA